CGCGUAUGCAACCUACCUGUCACAGGGGGAUAGGCUGUGGAAACACGGAUUAAUACCCCAUGGUACUACGAUUUCGGAUGUGAUUGUAGUUAAAGCCAGCAAUGGUGGUGACAGCUGGGCAUGCGUCUGAUUAGCUAGUUGGUGAGGUAACGGCUCACCAAGGCGACGAUCAGUAGGGGUUCUGAGAGGAUGAUCCCCCACACUGGAACUGAGACACGGUCCAG
rnacentral:rRNA from 1 species